AGAGUUUGAUCAUGGCUCAGAUUGAACGCUGGCGGCGUGCUUAACACAUGCAAGUCGAGCGGUAACAGGCGUAGCAAUACGUGCUGACGAGCGGCGAACGGGUGAGUAAUGCUUCGGAAUCUGCCUAGUAGUGGGGAAUAACCAGUCGAAAGACUGGCUAAUGCCGCAUACGUCCCUUGACCGUAUUGGUCAUUGGAGAAAGCGGGGGAUCGCAAGACCUCGCGCUAAUAGAUGAGCCGAAGUCGGAUUAGCUAGUUGGUGAGGUAACGGCUCACCAAGGCGACAAUCCGUAGCUGGUCUGAGAGGACGACCAGCCACACUGGGACUGAGACACGGCCCAGACUCCUACGGGAGGCAGCAGUGGGGAAUAUUGGACAAUGGGGGCAACCCUGAUCCAGCGACGCCGCGUGUGUGAAGAAGGCCUGCGGGUUGUAAAGCACUUUUAGUGGGGACAAAAAGCUACGGGCUAAUACCUUGUAGUCUUGAUUUAACCCAAAGAAAAAGCACCGGCUAACUCUGUGCCAGCAGCCGCGGUAAUACAGAGGGUGCGAGCGUUAAUCGGAAUUACUGGGCGUAAAGCGUGCGUAGACGGUUUCGUAAGUCGGGUGUGAAAUCCCCGGGCUCAACCUGGGAAUUGCAUUCGAAACUGCGAGGCUAGGGUACGGAAGAGGGAAGCGGAAUUUCUGGUGUAGCGGUGAAAUGCGUAGAUAUCAGAAGGAACAUCAGUGGCGAAAGCGGCUUCCUGGUCCAGUACCGACGUUCAGGCACGAAAGCGUGGGGAGCAAACAGGAUUAGAUACCCUAGUAGUCC
rnacentral:rRNA from 1 species